UAGGGCUGGGCGAUGGGGAGAAAAUCCGAUAUCGCGCGAUUCUUGACCAAAUACCUCGAUAUCAAUAUUGUGGC